rnacentral:lncRNA from 1 species
UGUAUUUGCCAUUUUGCAGGGCUUUGAUGAGGAAGAACAUGGUGAUGGGGAUGGAAGUAAGGCAUCUGAGCGUUUUGUAGGAGCCAUGGCACAAAGAUUAUGUGCCACAGGGAGUCUAAAUUUUUGGUGCCCUUCCAAGGAUUUUGGUGUAGUCCCAAUUAUAUAAGUAUAUAUUAUGCAAGGAUGGUGCAUGUAUUUAUAUAGAUGUAAUGUAUCUAAAUUUAUCAUAGCAAUUAAUGUUUGAGUCUACAACGAGAUAUUGGUAGCAUAGUAUGGAUUCAAGUGCCGCUCUAUCUCACCAAACACGUAGGCACGGUUGCGUGCUAGGUUUUUGUCGCCUAGCUAACCGAUUGUGGAAAAGAGAUAUUCUUUUUUUUUCUAGGAGCCAAAAAGAGAUAUUCUAAUGAACAAGUGUUUUGCCGUGUUCCUAGCUAACCGAAUGCCGUGUUUUGCUCCUGCUGGAAGCCAAAUGUCUCGUGAUUGCACAGUUGUGCAUAUGGCUGCAGCCACCUGCCUUUUGGUGAAAAAGUUAAUAUGUUUAUGGACAUCUUGCGUGAACAUGGUUUAUGAUGGC